rnacentral:lncRNA from 1 species
CCACCAGUUUAAUCUGGUUUGGGGGUCAAUUUUGACAUCAAGUGGUUUUAGUCCCUCCCGAUCGGUUGAGAUAGCAUUUCCUCACUUCCAUAAAUUUCUACCAAGCGUUAAUUAGUGCAUUGAUUGAUCGUCUUCCAUGUAUCUAGGCAAUUGUUCUUUGUCCUAUUGCUAUGUAGUAGUUAUGAAGUUUUAGCUUUUUCAAUCACACAAGAAAGUAUGAUGUGUUGAGUAA